GUUUUUUACAACUGGUAUCACCGUUCCUGCCCAGGCGUCACUUUACUUGCAAGAGAGAAUCGAAGCCAUCAAAAUGGAGUCGAAUAAUCUAGCAUUAAUUUAACAAAUUAUUCAUAUUCAUAUUCAUGUAAGCGCAAACAAGUUUUUGGCGACCGUGUUGAUUACGAAUCUGCAAGAUGAACGAUUAGAAAAUUAAAAUCAACAAGAAUCACCUAUGAAAUUUUACAUAUCAAUAAUCAUAAUCAAGAUUCAAAAUUCAAGAUAUACUUUAACUACUAAUUAGAACCAAAGGCCUGAUCCUGAAACAGCAGUCAAUUCAUUCAUUUAAUCAGAAGAACAAUCAUACUUGAAAAAAUGAUCGGAAGGGGCGGCUACGGCGUGACCUUAGCUUGGUGCGCAGAACCCAUCGUGGACCACGCAGCUUACUAAGAUAAGUGCCCUAAAUUCCCUAAAAUCCUUUUUUCUAUCCAUCACAUCAUCCUAUACCCAAUUCCAGCUUCACUUGUGCAAAUUAAAUACAGAAAUUGCAAGUAUUAACAUGUACGAAACACGUGUUUUAUCUACCUACAUUCAUUUUGUUAAAAGUUAUAUUACGUUCUAAUUUCAUUAAAAACAAUUAAGAAUCAACAUUUUUAGACGUAAAAUAUUUAAUUAUUUAAUAAAACCAUAGUAAAACUAACAAAGAAUUAUUCAAUAAAGUAAAUUUAAUAUUAAAAAGUUACUUAUUUUAACAAUAGAUGAACAGUAUUAUAUUUUUGUUAUUUUUAUAUACGAGUUAUACGAAUUAAUGUAAAAUUGUAAUACGAAUUAACGUAAUAGUGUUGACGGGAAAUCAUAUUAAUUUAUUCGCCGAAUACUUCAGGAUUUUCGAAUGCUGCGCGUACGCUUGACGCUGGCCGACCGGUGCAGCUAGUGGAUCAGCUGAGCGGUAACCAGUGCUUGCUGCGAACAUUUUUUUUUUGUUUACGAGCGGAGUCCUGAGCAUCGUCGAAUUGAGGAGCGGCACUUUCUUAUUGGACGACCAAUCACUGCAUUACCUGCACCUGAGCUAGUGGAACAGAAGACGACCGCACUCCAACGAUAUGCUCGUCUUGAACAAAUAAGGCAACAUUUCUGGCAGCGCUGGCACAAAGAAUACAUCUCGGAACUGCAACAACGUUCCAAGUGGCGAACAAAGUAUGGACCAGCUUUGAAGAUUGGAGAUUUGGUCCUACUUCAAGAGGAAAACUUGCCUCCCUUAUGCUGGCGUCUUGGACGAGUUGCUCGUCUCUACCAUGGACCUGAUGGUGUGGCACGAGUGGCUGAUGUUAACACAACCAGGGGCUGCCUUAGAAGACCCCUCACCCGCAUCUGCCCACUUUUGGACGACGAAUCUGUUGAAAGGAAAUCUUUCAACGCGGGGGAGGAUGUUUAGGCUUUCAUUCAUGAGAAGAUUUAUUAUUACAUAUAUUUCAAGUUAAAGUUUUAUUCUACAAAGUUGCAACACAAGAAAUUAGUUUUUUACAACUGGUAUCACCGUUCCUGCCCAGGCGUCACUUUACUUGCAAGAGAGAAUCGAAGCCAUCAAAAUGGAGUCGAAUAAUCUAGCAUU
rnacentral:misc_RNA from 1 species